rnacentral:lncRNA from 1 species
UUUGUCUGAGGUAGGUGAUGAUUGUGAUUUCAUGUUGUGUGAUGUAUGUUUGUUCUUGCUUCAUUAUAAUACAUGUAUGUAUGCGAAUGUUGCAUUAUUGAUUACACUAAUUGUAAAUGAGGAUAGAUGAAUGAUGAAUGUUAUGACUCAUGACUUUAUUGUAUGAUUUUGAGAAUAUACUUGUGAUUGUGAUUAUGGCUUGUUGAAUGGAUC